rnacentral:rRNA from 1 species
CAGGACGAACGCUGGCGGCGUGCCUAGCACAUGCAAGUCGAGCGAGGAGAUUCCUCGGGAUGAUCCUAGCGGCGGACGGGUGAGUAACACGUGGGCAACCUGCCUCAUAGAGAGGAAUAGCCUUCCGAAAGGGAGAUUAAUACCUCAUAACAUUGCAGUUUCGCAUGGAACAGCAAUUAAAGGAGUAAUCCGCUAUGAGAUGGGCCCGCGGCGCAUUAGCUAGUUGGUGAGGUAAUGGCUCACCAAGGCGACGAUGCGUAGCCGACCUGAGAGGGUGAUCGGCCACAUUGGGACUGAGACACGGCCCAGACUCCUACGGGAGGCAGCAGUGGGGAAUAUUGCACAAUGGGGGAAACCCUGAUGCAAGCAACGCCGCGUGAGUGAUGACGGCCUUCGGGUUGUAAAGCUCUGUCUUCAGGGACGAUAAUGACGGUACCUGAGGAGGAAGCCACGGCUAACUACGUGCCAGCAGCCGC